UACAGAGGGUGCGAGCGUUGUCCGGAAUCACUGGGCGUAAAGGGCGCGUAGGCGGCUUGAUAAGCGUGCGGUGAAAGCCCGGGGCUCAACCCCGGGUCGGCCGUGCGAACUGUCGAGCUGGAGCACUGUAGAGGCAGGUGGAAUUCCGGGUGUAGCGGUGGAAUGCGUAGAGAUCCGGAAGAACACCGGUGGCGAAGGCGGCCUGCUGGGCAGUGGGCUGACGCUGGAGGCGCGAAAGCUAGGGGAGCAAACGGG
rnacentral:rRNA from 1 species